CUCAUGUACAAGUACUCCGGGCAUUCCCGAGCUUACAUUAUUCAACAAUGCAUACCUUGGAUAUCAAUCUAGAUGCCCAAUGCUAAUUAUUCAUAAUGAUGCAAAACAUGAGGAUACAAAGAAAACAUGACUUUGUAUACAUGAGUUUUAAUGCAUCUAACGAUGCUAUCGGGAUGCUGCCUGAGAUUUUCAAAGAUUAGCCUGUUUCUAGCUGUCCAAAUAUAAUAAACAGUGUUUGCAAACGCUUAUUUCUUGGCUUUAAAUUGCCAAGAAGUCACUUUUUCCCUCAUUCUCUAUCCAUUUCAGAGCACUUGAUAAUGUAGUCAUGGCUCUAGUGAUCCAGAGCCAGGCUCUUAUCUGUCCCCAAAUUUCUGUGCUCACGCGACAUUGGAAGAAAAGAUGCUGGACGGAUUCUGUUGCAACUUGACAAAAUACGCAUCUGUUGUCGAUCUCCAUGCGUUGUAGUCGAUCUUUGCCUAGGAACUUGGUUUUCACACUAAACCAAAGUAUGAGUGGAUGUUUUGGAUUGAUGCAUGAACUCCAAACAACAUUUGACCAAAUAGUUGGCUUCCUCUUUGGUCGAAAAUAAUCAUAAGCUUUAGUAAUGCAUAUAUUGUCUCCUUGGAUCCAGCUUGAAAUUCUUUGGCAUGUAGCGUGAUUUGAUCCUUCAGUUUCUUUCAAGCAAUGCGCAAUGGACAGUAUCUUUUUGAAUAGUGGUAAGUCAUCCUUUUUAGGGGACCUUUCCCAUAUUGAUGUCCCUCUCAAAUACACGUGAUUGGUCCAUCGCAUCCAAAGUGUGUCCUUCUUAGCAUGUAUGUUCCACACCGACUUAGCUAGUAGUGCAUUGUUCCAGCGUUUUAUACCUCGCAAUCCAAGUCCACCACGCUUUUGGGGAGGCAAACUUUUGACCAUGCAACCACCAAUUUUUUGGAUUUCCAAAGAAAAUUCCUACAAAGCCAUGUGAUCCUCAUACUGACUGCAGCAGGUAUCGAGAAUAUGGAUAACCAGAAGCAUUUAACACCUUGCGAGAUUGAUCUUAUUAGUUCAGCCCUACCUGCGUAGGAUAAUGAUGAGCUCGUCUAGGCGUGUAUAUAUACAGCUAUCUUAUUGAAGAAAGAGGCAUAGUGGCUGACUUUCCAUUUUUUAGCAACUAAUGGAACCCCCAAAUAUCUUAACAGCAUGGAUCUCCUCGACAUGUUUACCAAUUCUUGGAUGUCAUCCAAGUCUUGGCC
rnacentral:lncRNA from 1 species